rnacentral:lncRNA from 1 species
AUCUCUCAUUUCAGAUAUUUUCAUUAGGGUUUCUCUUUUCUGGUUUCUCAGUUCAGUUUAAUGGCCGCCGAAGUUGAGUACAGUUGCUUCGUUGGUGGGCUAGCUUGGGCCACCACCGAUAGAACACUUAGCGAUGCUUUCUCUACCUACGGCGAAGUAGUCGACUCGAAGGUCCGUUUGUUGCAGAGCAGAAAUCAGAUCCGAGCCCAUUUUUUGGUUUCGUUGAUGACCUUCUGUUACUGAUUACUAUCUCUAUCUCUGGUUUACUUGAUUCAUCUGUUACUGUUACUCUGUUUAUACUGUUAUACCAUUCCUUGAAACGAUCAUUAAUGACAGAGAAACUGGUAGAUCUAGAGGAUUUGGCUUUGUUACCUUCAAGGAUGAAAAAUCCAUGAAGGACGCUAUUUCAGGAAUGAAUGGUCAGGAACUUGAUGGCCGUAACAUCACUGUUAACGAAGCUCAAGCACGCGGAAGUGGAGGUGGUGGUGGUGGUUUCGGUGGUGGAAGACGACGUGAGGGAGGCGGUGGCGGCUACGGAGGAGGCGGCGGAGGCUAUGGAGGAGGCGGCGGUUACGGAGGAGGUGGCGGUGGCUACGGAGGUGGCAGACGCGAAGGAGGUGGUGGUGGAGGCUACGGAGGUGGCCGACGUGAAGGUGGCGGCGGCGGUUACGGUGGUGGUGGCGGUUACGGUGGUGACCGUUAUUAGAUUGAUAGCUCUUAAUUAGGCCUAUGUUUUAUGGCCUUUAUAGAUUAGUUUUAAUAUCCAUACUGGUUUAAGUGUGGUUUUAAGUUAUUUGCUCUUAUAUUUGGUUGAUAAGAUACUGUGAAUCUGUAUUUUGCGAAGUUCCAUGGAAUCAAGUAAAAGCAUGUUUGCGACCUGCGUCAAUUCUCCGUUUCAAAGUUUGAUUCUGGUUAGAUUACGUAAUUGUUUUUUUGUUAGUUGCUUAAAA